GAUGAAGAACGCAGCGAAAUGCGAUAAGUAAUGUGAAUUGCAGAAUUCAGUGAAUCAUCGAAUCUUUGAACGCACCUUGCGCCCUUUGGCUAUUCCGAAGGGCAUGCCUGUUUGAGUAUCAUGAACACCUCAACUCUUCACGGCUUGCCGUGAUGAGUUUGGACUUUGGGGGUCUUGCUGGCCUACGAGCCAGCUCCUCUCAAAUGUAUUAGCUUGCCGGUGUUUGGUGGCAUCACAGGUGUGAUAACUAUCUACGCUUGUGGUUUUCCACUAGGUAACCUUCAGCAAUGGAGGUUCACCGGAGCUCACAAAUGUCUCUCCUUGCCAAGGACAGAUUUUGACCAUUUGAUCUCAAAUCAGGUAGGACUACCCGCUGAACUUAAGCAUAUCAUAAGCGGAGGA
rnacentral:misc_RNA from 1 species